UUCCUUUUGUCAUCGUCAUAGCACACAUGUGCCAACUCCUGGAGGAGCUCAACAACGAACUGACUUGUGUCGCUUAAGACAGCAACGGCUUAUUCACUCUGAAUUCAACCUUGAUGAAUAAACAAGAUCAACUGAGAACCUGACUCACUCAUCAUUUGAAUCGAGUUUGGCUGACCGUCGAACUGCGUACCCCCGUAGUGAAUGUUAUCAAGGGCACCUGCUAGGACAUCAAAGGUGUGGGACCCUUUCAACCUCUGGCAAGCAAGUGCAGCGGAUCUACUCUCCAAGGUUUCUUCAUCUAUCCAAUGCGCUGUGACACCUAUGAAACUUUGCUGUGGUGGUGGCAACAUAGCUGACUUUACUGAGAUGCGACAUCAAAGUCUUCUUCAUCUGGUUGGCAGCUCCCUCUAUUCUGGCCUGGAGAGUGGGUCUGGAAAUGACCAUACAUUGGGGAUUCAGUGUCAAUAAAAGUUCUUUGAAAGCAGGUUGCUCAACCAAAGAAAAUGGAUGAAGACCCUCACAAAUGAGGUUUAUCAUGAGCUCGUCAACCUUUGCCUGUGGCACACGUCUGUUUGCACCUACUGCCAUCAAGUCACUUAUUUUUUUUUGCUUGUUUGGGGUAUCUGGUGGUUCUUGGUUCGCUUCCGUGUUGCCACGAAGUCAAUAAAGUCCUUAAGCUCUGA